CUGGCUCAGGAUGAACGCUAGCGACAGGCUUAACACAUGCAAGUCGAGGGGCAGCAUAAAGUAGCAAUACGUUGGUGGCGACCGGCGCGACGGGUGAGUAACGCGUAUGCAACCUACCUAUCAGAGGGGAAUAACCCGGCGAAAGUCGGACUAAUACCGCAGUAAAACAGGGGCACCGCAUGGUGAUAUUUGUUAAAGAAAUUCGCUGAUAGAUGGGCAUGCGUUCCAUUAGGUAGUUGGUGAGGUAACGGCUCACCAAGCCGACGAUGGAUAGGGGAACUGAGAGGUUGGUCCCCCACACUGGUACUGAGACACGGACCAGACUCCUACGGGAGGCAGCAGUGAGGAAUAUUGGUCAAUGGGCGGGAGCCUGAACCGGCCAAGUCGCGUGAAGGAAAAGAAGGAUCUAUGGUUCGUAAACUUCUUUUGCAGGGGAAUAAAGUGCAGGACGUGUCCUGUUUUGUAUGUACCCUGAGAAUAAGGAUCGGCUAACUCCGUGCCAGCAGCUGC
rnacentral:rRNA from 1 species